rnacentral:rRNA from 1 species
GAUGAACGCUGGCGGCGUGCCUAAUACAUGCAAGUCGAGCGAACAGACGAGGAGCUUGCUCCUCUGACGUUAGCGGCGGACGGGUGAGUAACACGUGGAUAACCUACCUAUAAGACUGGGAUAACUUCGGGAAACCGGAGCUAAUACCGGAUAAUAUAUUGAACCGCAUGGUUCAAUAGUGAAAGACGGUUUUGCUGUCACUUAUAGAUGGAUCCGCGCCGCAUUAGCUAGUUGGUAAGGUAACGGCUUACCAAGGCAACGAUGCGUAGCCGACCUGAGAGGGUGAUCGGCGACACUGGAACUGAGACACGGUCCAGACUCCUACGGGAGGCAGCAGUAGGGAAUCUUCCGCAAUGGGCGAAAGCCUGACGAAGCAACGCCGAGUGAGUGAUGAAGGUCUUCGGAUCGUAAAACUCUGUUAUUAGGGAAGAACAAAUGUGUAAGUACCUAUGCACGUCUUGACGGUACCUAAUCAGAAAGCCACGGCUAACUACGUG